UACGGGGGGGGUAAGCGUUGUUCGGAAUUACUGGGCGUAAAGGGCUCGUAGGCGGCCAACUAAGUCAGACGUGAAAUCCCUCAGCUUAACUGGGGAACUGCGUCUGAUACUGGAUGGCUUGAGAUUGGGAGAGGGAUGCGGAAUUCCAGGUGUAGCGGUGAAAUGCGUAGAUAUCUGGAGGAACACCGGUGGCGAAGGCGGCAUCCUGGACCAACACUGACGCUGAUGAGCGAAAGCCAGGGGAGCAAACGGG
rnacentral:rRNA from 1 species